GCUACAGGCUUAACACAUGCAAGUCGAGGGGCAGCAUGGUCUUAGCUUGCUAAGGCCGAUGGCGACCGGCGCACGGGUGAGUAACACGUAUCCAACCUGCCGUCUACUCUUGGACAGCCUUCUGAAAGGAAGAUUAAUACAAGAUGGCAUCAUGAGUCCGCAUGUUCACAUGAUUAAAGGUAUUCCGGUAGACGAUGGGGAUGCGUUCCAUUAGAUAGUAGGCGGGGUAACGGCCCACCUAGUCUUCGAUGGAUAGGGGUUCUGAGAGGAAGGUCCCCCACAUUGGAACUGAGACACGGUCCAAACUCCUACGGGAGGCAGCAGUGAGGAAUAUUGGUCAAUGGGCGAGAGCCUGAACCAGCCAAGUAGCGUGAAGGAUGACUGCCCUAUGGGUUGUAAACUUCUUUUAUAAAGGAAUAAAGUCGGGUAUGGAUACCCGUUUGCAUGUACUUUAUGAAUAAGGAUCGGCUAACUCCGUGCCAGCAGCCGCGGUAAUACGGAGGAUCCGAGCGUUAUCCGGAUUUAUUGGGUUUAAAGGGAGCGUAGAUGGAUGUUUAAGUCAGUUGUGAAAGUUUGCGGCUCAACCGUAAAAUUGCAGUUGAUACUGGAUAUCUUGAGUGCAGUUGAGGCAGGCGGAAUUCGUGGUGUAGCGGUGAAAUGCUUAGAUAUCACGAAGAACUCCGAUUGCGAAGGCAGCCUGCUAAGCUGCAACUGACAUUGAGGCUCGAAAGUGUGGGUAUCAAACAGGAUUAGAUACCCUGGUAGUCCACACGGUAAACGAUGAAUACUCGCUGUUUGCGAUAUACUGCAAGCGGCCAAGCGAAAGCGUUAAGUAUUCCACCUGGGGAGUACGCCGGCAACGGUGAAACUCAAAGGAAUUGACGGGGGCCCGCACAAGCGGAGGAACAUGUGGUUUAAUUCGAUGAUACGCGAGGAACCUUACCCGGGCUUAAAUUGCAGAUGAAUUACGGUGAAAGCCGUAAGCCGCAAGGCAUCUGUGAAGGUGCUGCAUGGUUGUCGUCAGCUCGUGCCGUGAGGUGUCGGCUUAAGUGCCAUAACGAGCGCAACCCUUGUUGUCAGUUACUAACAGGUUCCGCUGAGGACUCUGACAAGACUGCCAUCGUAAGAUGUGAGGAAGGUGGGGAUGACGUCAAAUCAGCACGGCCCUCACGUCCGGGGCUACACACGUGUUACAAUGGGGGGUACAGAGGGCCGCUACCACGCGAGUGGAUGCCAAUCCCCAAAACCUCUCUCAGUUCGGACUGGAGUCUGCAACCCGACUCCACGAAGCUGGAUUCGCUAGUAAUCGCGCAUCAGCCACGGCGCGGUGAAUACGUUCCCGGGCCUUGUACACACCGCCCGUCAAGCCAUGGGAGCCGGGGGUACCUGAAGUGCGUAACCGCGAGGAGCGCCCUAGGGUAAAACUGGUGACUGGGGCUAAGUCAU
rnacentral:rRNA from 1 species